rnacentral:rRNA from 1 species
UACGAAGGGGGCUAGCGUUGCUCGGAAUUACUGGGCGUAAAGGGCGCGUAGGCGGACAUUUAAGUCAGAGGUGAAAGCCCACGGCUCAACCGUGGAGGGUCAUUAGAAACUGGGGGACUUGAGUGCAGGAGAGAAGAGUGGAAUUCCACGUGUAGCGGUGAAAUGCGUAGAGAUGUGGAGGAACACCAGUGGCGAAGGCGACUCCUUGGCCUGUAACUGACGCUGAGGCGCGAAAGCGUGGGGAGCGAACAGG